AACGAACGCUGGCGGCAGGCUUAACACAUGCAAGUCGAGCGCCCCGCAAGGGGAGCGGCAGACGGGUGAGUAACGUGUGGGAAUCUACCGAGCCCUGAGGAAUAGCUCCGGGAAACUGGAAUUAAUACCGCAUACGCCCUACGGGGGAAAGAUUUAUCGGGGUUUGAUGAUCCCGCGUUGGAUUAGCUAGUUGGUGGGGUAAUGGCCUACCAAGGCGACGAUCCAUAGCUGGUCUGAGAGGAUGAUCAGCCACAUUGGGACUGAGACACGGCCCCAACUCCUACGGGAGGCAGCAGUGGGGAAUAUUGGACAAUGGGGGCAACCCUGAUCCAGCCAUGCCGCGUGAGUGAUGAAGGCCUUAGGGUUGUAAAGCUCUUUCACCGGUGAAGAUAAUGACGGUAACCGGAGAAGAAGCCCCGGCUAACUUCGUGCCAGCCGCCGCAGUAAGAC
rnacentral:rRNA from 1 species